rnacentral:rRNA from 1 species
UUGAACGCUGGCGGCAGGCCUAACACAUGCAAGUCGAGCGGAUGAAGGGAGCUUGCUCCUGGAUUCAGCGGCGGACGGGUGAGUAAUGCCUAGGAAUCUGCCUGGUCGUGGGGGAUAACGUCCGGAAACGGGCGCUAAUACCGCAUACGUCUUGAGGGAGAAAGUGGGGGAUCUUCGGACCUCACGCUAUCAGAUGAGCCUAGGUCGGAUUAGCUAGUUGGUGGGGUAAAGGCCUACCAAGGCGACGAUCCGUAACUGGUCUGAGAGGAUGAUCAGUCACACUGGAACUGAGACACGGUCCAGAAUCCUACGGGAGGCAGCAGUGGGGAAUAUUGGACAAUGGGCGAAAGCCUGAUCCAGCCAUGCCGCGUGUGUGAAGAAGGUCUUCGGAUUGUAAAGCACUUUAAGUUGGGAGGAAGGGCAGUAAGUUAAUACCUUGCUGUGUUGACGUUACCAACAGAAUAAGCACCGGCUAACUUCGUG